CUGCGGAGGGAUCAUUACUGAGUUUACGCUCUACAACCCUUUGUGAACAUACCUAUAACUGUUGCUUCGGCGGGUAGGGUCUCCGUGACCCUCCCGGCCUCCCGCCCCCGGGCGGGUCGGCGCCCGCCGGAGGAUAACCAAACUCUGAUUUAACGACGUUUCUUCUGAGUGGUACAAGCAAAUAAUCAAAACUUUUAACAACGGAUCUCUUGGUUCUGGCAUCGAUGAAGAACGCAGCGAAAUGCGAUAAGUAAUGUGAAUUGCAGAAUUCAGUGAAUCAUCGAAUCUUUGAACGCACAUUGCGCCCGCCAGCAUUCUGGCGGGCAUGCCUGUUCGAGCGUCAUUUCAACCCUCAAGCUCUGCUUGGUGUUGGGGCCCUACAGCCGAUGUAGGCCCUCAAAGGUAGUGGCGGACCCUCCCGGAGCCUCCUUUGCGUAGUAACUUUACGUCUCGCACUGGGAUCCGGAGGGACUCUUGCCGUAAAACCCCCAAUUUUCCAAAGGUUGACCUCGGAUCAGGUAGGAAUACCCGCUGAACUUAAGCAUAUCAU
rnacentral:rRNA from 1 species